rnacentral:rRNA from 1 species
AGAGUUUGAUCCUGGCUCAGGACGAACGCUGGCGGCGUGCUUAACACAUGCAAGUCGAACGGAAAGGCCCUGCUUGCAGGGUGCUCGAGUGGCGAACGGGUGAGUAACACGUGGGUGAUCUGCCCUGCACUUCGGGAUAAGCUUGGGAAACUGGGUCUAAUACCGGAUAGGACUACGGCCUGCAUGGGUUGUGGUGGAAAGCUUUUGCGGUGUGGGAUGGGCCCGCGGCCUAUCAGCUUGUUGGUGGGGUGAUGGCCUACCAAGGCGACGACGGGUAGCCGGCCUGAGAGGGUGUCCGGCCACACUGGGACUGAGAUACGGCCCAGACUCCUACGGGAGGCAGCAGUGGGGAAUAUUGCACAAUGGGCGCAAGCCUGAUGCAGCGACGCCGCGUGGGGGAUGACGGCCUUCGGGUUGUAAACCUCU